rnacentral:rRNA from 1 species
UUUAUGGAGAGUUUGAUCCUGGCUCAGGAUGAACGCUGGCGGCGUGCCUAAUACAUGCAAGUCGAGCGAACGGACGAGAAGCUUGCUUCUCUGAUGUUAGCGGCGGACGGGUGAGUAACACGUGGAUAACCUACCUAUAAGACUGGGAUAACUUCGGGAAACCGGAGCUAAUACCGGAUAAUAUUUUGAACCGCAUGGUUCAAAAGUGAAAGACGGUCUUGCUGUCACUUAUAGAUGGAUCCGCGCUGCAUUAGCUAGUUGGUAAGGUAACGGCUUACCAAGGCAACGAUGCAUAGCCGACCUGAGAGGGUGAUCGGCCACACUGGAACUGAGACACGGUCCAGACUCCUACGGGAGGCAGCAGUAGGGAAUCUUCCGCAAUGGGCGAAAGCCUGACGGAGCAACGCCGCGUGAGUGAUGAAGGUCUUCGGAUCGUAAAACUCUGUUAUUAGGGAAGAACAUAUGUGUAAGUAACUGUGCACAUCUUGACGGUACCUAAUCAGAAAGCCACGGCUAACUACGUGCCAGCAGCCGCGGUAAUACGUAGGUGGCAAGCGUUAUCCGGAAUUAUUGGGCGUAAAGCGCGCGUAGGCGGUUUUUUAAGUCUGAUGUGAAAGCCCACGGCUCAACCGUGGAGGGUCAUUGGAAACUGGAAAACUUGAGUGCAGAAGAGGAAAGUGGAAUUCCAUGUGUAGCGGUGAAAUG